UACGUAGGGUGCGAGCGUUGUCCGGAAUCACUGGGCGUAAAGGGCGCGUAGGCGGCUCAUGAAGGCUGUGGUGAAAGUUCGGGGCUCAACCUCGGAUCGGCCGUGGCGACUCGUGGGCUGGAGCACUGUAGAGGCGGGUGGAAUUCCGGGUGUAGCGGUGGAAUGCGUAGAGAUCCGGAAGAACACCAGUGGCGAAGGCGGCCCGCUGGGCAGUGGCUGACGCUGAAGCGCGACAGCGUGGGGAGCAAACAGG
rnacentral:rRNA from 1 species